UAGGGAAUCUUCCGCAAUGGGCGAAAGCCUGACGGAGCAACGCCGCGUGAGUGAUGAAGGUCUUCGGAUCGUAAAGCUCUGUUAUUAGGGAAGAACAAACGUGUAAGUAACUGUGCACGUCUUGACGGUACCUAAUCAGAAAGCCACGGCUAACUACGUGCCAGCAGCCGCGGUAAUACGUAGGUGGCAAGCGUUAUCCGGAAUUAUUGGGCGUAAAGCGCGCGUAGGCGGUUUUUUAAGUCUGAUGUGAAAGCCCACGGCUCAACCGUGGAGGGUCAUUGGAAACUGGAAAACUUGAGUGCAGAAGAGGAAAGUGGAAUUCCAUGUGUAGCGGUGAAAUGCGCAGAGAUAUGGAGGAACACCAGUGGCGAAGGCGGCUUUCUGGUCUGCAACUGACGCUGAUGUGCGAAAGCGUGGGGAUCAAACAGG
rnacentral:rRNA from 1 species